rnacentral:rRNA from 1 species
GAUGAACGCUGGCGGCGUGCCUAAUACAUGCAAGUCGAGCGAACGGACGAGAAGCUUGCUUCUCUGAUGUUAGCGGCGGACGGGUGAGUAACACGUGGAUAACCUACCUAUAAGACUGGGAUAACUUCGGGAAACCGGAGCUAAUACCGGAUAAUAUUUUGAACCGCAUGGUUCAACAGUGAAAGACGGUCUUGCUGUCACUUAUAGAUGGAUCCGCGCUGCAUUAGCUAGUUGGUAAGGUAACGGCUUACCAAGGCAACGAUGCAUAGCCGACCUGAGAGGGUGAUCGGCCACACUGGAACUGAGACACGGUCCAGACUCCUACGGGAGGCAGCAGUAGGGAAUCUUCCGCAAUGGGGGAAAGACUGACGGAGCAACGCCGCGUGAGGGAUGAAGGUCUUCGGAUCGUAAAACUCUGUUAUUAGGGAAGAACAUAUGUGUAAGUAACUGUGCACAUCUUGACGGUACCUAAUCAGAAAGCCACGGCUAACUACGUG